CCAUUUUCUUCUUCUUCCUCACGCAUGCCCCCCUCAACUUUCUGCAUCGUCCAACCCUAGAGUUUGGCGCUGUCAACCGCUCGUCCCACUCACAUCCAGUCGUUGUUGAAGCCGCACCGACCUUCACGUGUGAACGAGCCGAGCGAUGCUACGACUUCCAACUGAAGCCACGCCUUCUUGCAUUUCCGUUCGUGAGUGCUAGCCCAAGCCACCGUCCUCCGUUCACUGCUGCAUCGCCCAGUCGAGGGCGUCGUCUCGUCUGUCAGCCGGGCGUUAGAUCCGUCAAUCGCGGGUUCUGCUUCCACUGACCAGAUCUGCUUCAUCUCACCAGAUCCAGCUGCGCAUCCGCCGCCCCAGCCGCACCACUACCGGUCGCCGUUGUCCCUGCCGCAUCGGGUCCGUUUUGUCUUUGUCGGAAUCUUGGAUUAAGGGUUAUUGAAGUUGUCGUCUAGCCAAUUAAAGGUGUAGUCGACGAAUCUUGGUGAAGGGUAAGGCUCUAAACUCAUAUGGGUUGUUAAGCAUGUUGUAUGUUUAUGAAUUACUCGAUUUAUGUUUGACUGAACCAUGGACUGCGGCCUAAAAUAAUUUGCCAUGAUGUUUGGGUGUUAGGUUUGGAUCUUGAGGUUUCCUGGUGUCUUUGUUUUGAGUGAUUUAAGUUUGAACCUGUGGGUUUUCGAAGGCUCUUUUCGUGAUGGUGACCAUUUGGAUUGAGUUUGUUCGUGACAGAUCCAGAGAAAGGAAAUAUGUGAAGAAGGGUUCUUCAAAGGUAAGUUUUCUCUCACCCUAAUUCUCUUAUUUCCUUUUUAUUUGCAUGUUGUAAAUUUAUGAUUAUGCAUAACAUUUGUACUCUGUAAUUUUGAUUUUGUGGAAAUAAAUUUUGGAUAAAUCUCCACGCUUUCGCUCAAGGACCUCCAAAGGUUCCUUCAAUUGGUAUAAGAGCCAGGUUUUGAUCCCUAAUUUUUAUUGUUCCAAAUUUUAAUUUUACAGAAUCGGUGGGUAGAAUUCUAUAUAUGUUCAUGUGAUGAAUGUUUGUGAAUGUGAAUGGUAUGAUUAUUGGAUGUUUUUGGGAUUAGACUGUUUAGAUUUAUUGCUUUCAAUUUACAAAUUCGUUUGUAAGGGCCCAUGGUUUGGGCAUUAUUGUUUGCGAUCGAGUCUGUUAUUUAAAUGUUUGAGUCGCUCGUGCUGUUCCCAGUGCGUUUCGAAGGAAAAACAAAGCAACCUUACGAUGAGGAAAACAUCACUUGGUGUUUGCUAAGAGAUCGCAUAGCGUUACUGAGAGAUAAUGUAGCAUUUGCUGAGAGAUUGCCCAAGGUUUGCUGAGAGAUCACAUAGCAUUUGCUAAAAGAUCGCAUAGCGUUUGCCAAGAGAUUAUGUAGCAAUUACUAACAGAUCACGUAGCUUUUACUAAGAGAUCGUGUAGCAUUUGCCGAGAGAUCUCUUAGCGUCUGCUAAGAGAUCUCCCAAUGUUUGCUAAGAGAUCUUUCAGCAUUUUCUAAGAGAUGGUUGCUAAGAGAUCACUGCUGAGAGAUCAUUGGUAGGUGAUUUGGUUCGAGGGGUUCAAGGCCCGAUUCACUUGUUUCGAACCGGUUGACUAUUAUUUUGUAAUAAUUAAUUUUUUAACUAAAUUAAUAUAAGUGUUAUAUUAAUUU